AUGGCUAGAUGGACGAGUUCAUCAAAUUCAAAUGCAGAAAAGAAGACGUGGACUAGCCUGUGGAAAACUCAAGUGCCAUCUAAAAUCAAGAUAUUUUUAUGGAGGUUAGCACAGCAAUCUCGACCAUCUGCUGAUUUAUUGCAUCACCGAAAUAUGUCGACUACGUCAACCCGUGGAAUCUGUGGUUCAGAAGAUUCUUGGCAACAUUCCCUUCUCCACUGUCAUAUGGCGAGGUGUGUUUGGGCCCUUGAAGACCCGAACCUGGUCGAGGCCAUGGAGAGCAGCAGAGAAUUGGGUGCCAAAAUGUGGCUAUUUGCACUUAUUGAUUUGAUGAUUUUAUCAAAAUUGUGGUCACCUUAUGGGCUGUGUGGCAUGCACACAGGAAAGCAUUUCACAAACAUAUCUUUCCCUCGCCCCAUUCAACGCACCACUUUGUGA
rnacentral:rRNA from 1 species